rnacentral:rRNA from 1 species
UACGUAGGGCGCGAGCGUUAAUCGGAAUUACUGGGCGUAAAUCGUGCGCAGGCGGCUUUGCAAGACAGAUGUGAAAUCCCCGGGCUCAACCUGGGAACUGCAUUUGUGACUGCAAGGCUAGAGUACGGCAGAGGGGGAUGGAAUUCCGCGUGUAGCAGUGAAAUGCGUAGAUAUGCGGAGGAACACCAAUGGCGAAGGCAAUCCCCUGGGCCUGUACUGACGCUCAUGCACGAAAGCGUGGGGAGCAAACAGG